ensembl:snRNA U4 U4 spliceosomal RNA
AGCUUUGCGCAGUGGCAGUAUCUUAGCCAAUGAGGUUUAUCCGAGGCACGAUUAUUGCUAAUUGAAAACAAGAUUCCUUGUUAGACCUAAAUUUUAGUUUUUUUAAGGAACGUUAAUAUGU